rnacentral:rRNA from 1 species
GGAGUUAGCCGGUGCUUCUUCUGCGAGUAACGUCACAGAUGUAAGGUAUUAACUUACACCCUUUCCUCCUCGCUGAAAGUGCUUUACAACCCGAAGGCCUUCUUCACACACGCGGCAUGGCUGCAUCAGGGUUUCCCCCAUUGUGCAAUAUUCCCCACUGCUGCCUCCCGUAGGAGUCUGGGCCGUGUCUCAGUCCCAGUGUGGCUGAUCAUCCUCUCAGACCAGCUAGGGAUCGUCGCCUAGGUGAGCCUUUACCUCACCUACUAGCUAAUCCCACCUGGGCUUAUCCAUCAGCGCAAGGCCCGAAGGUCCCCUGCUUUCCCCCGUAGGGCGUAUGCGGUAUUAGCAGUCGUUUCCAACUGUUAUCCCCACAAAUGGGCAAAUUCCCAGGCAUUACUCACCCGUCCGCCGCUCGUCAUCUUCAAAAGCAAGCUUUUGAAUGUUACCGCUCGACUUGCAUGUGUUAGGCCUGCCGCCAGCGUUCAAUCUGAGCCAGAAUCAAACUCUGA